AUGGCCGGCCGGCUCGUUCUUCUGACCUCGGUCCUCUCUGCCUUGAUCGUCUACUGGCUUUCGGUGCACCAUUUGCCGGCCUGGAUGCGCCGCCAGAUUGACAAAAUUAGACGAGCCUGGCUGUGGCGCGGCCAGGAGAGUUGUUAGGGUGGCCACUGCAAGGUCGCCUGGAGCAGGAUUUGCCGGCCUAGAGACCUAGGUGGGUUCGGCAUCAUCGACCUAGACCGUUUUGGGGCGGCGCUGUGGCUAAGGUGGCUCUGGUGGGAGAAGACGGUUCGCUCCAAGCCUUGGGUGGGGCUGCUGGUGCCCUGCAACCACAGCGAACGGCUGCUGUUUGCGGCCUCCAUGUCGGUAACCCUUGGGGAUGGCCGGACGACCUCUUUCUGUAUGGACAGUUGGUUGCAAGGCCAGGCACCCUGCGCCAUCGCGCCGGAGAUCUUCCGCCUCCCCAGGCGAAAGAAUCGCACUGUGCACCAGCCGCUGACGGGCAACCGCUGGGUGGCUGACCUGGCCGGUAGAAUUGCGAGCGAGCUGCUACCUUCCUUUGUCUCACUCUGGGUACGAAUCAGCGAGAUGGACAUCUCUGAAACCGGCGAUGACGUGAUCUCUUGGAAGCUCGAGGCCUCAGGCACGUACUCGGCUCCUCGGCGUACCGGCUGCAAUUUAUAG
rnacentral:rRNA from 1 species